UGGGGAAUAUUGGACAAUGGGCGGAAGCCUGAUCCAGCAACGCCGCGUGAGGGAUGACGGCCUUCGGGUUGUAAACCUCUUUCGGUAGGGACGAAGCGCAAGUGACGGUACCUACUAAAGAAGCACCGGCCAACUACGUG
rnacentral:rRNA from 1 species